UGGAGAGGUACAUGAAUUUUU
rnacentral:siRNA from 1 species